UAAACGACUCUCGGCAACGGAUAUCUCGGCUCUCGCAUCGAUGAAGAACGUAGCGAAAUGCGAUACUUGGUGUGAAUUGCAGAAUCCCGUGAACCAUCGAGUCUUUGAACGCAAGUUGCGCCCGAAGCCAUUAGGCCGAGGGCACGCCUGCCUGGGCGUCACAUGUCGUUGCCCCCCCAACCCCUUCGGGGGCUUGGACGGGACGGAUGAUGGCCUUCCCGCGUGCGCUGUCACGCGGUUGGCUCAAAUGCCGA
rnacentral:rRNA from 1 species